AAUGCAUGGUGACAAAUGUUUCGGUCCCAAAUGAUCCAGACUGAUUGUACCAUUCGUUUCUGACAUU
ensembl:snoRNA SNORD73 Small nucleolar RNA SNORD73